UACUAUUAUUCUGUGGAUGCUCAUAGAAUAUUGUGCUUGUUGCCUUGUAGCCCAUCAGUUCAAAGUUUGCCAUUCUGAAAUAGCAGAAAAUCUUGUGGAAGUCAUACUGGCUGUGAAGUUGCUGUCUCCGCCUCACAUUAUUUUCCUUGGGAGAUCUCACUAUUGAAGAAUGACAGCCACAAGCUGGAAUGUGUCCAGAGAAGGGCAAUCAAGAUGUCUGAGGAUCAGGAAACCAAACCUUACGAGGAAUGACUGAGGAUCUGGGUAAGUUUAGUUUGGAGAAGAGAAGAAUGAGAGGUGACAAGAUAACUCCUCUUUAGUAUCUGGAGGAAAGUCUUGUAUAAGACAGGAGCAAGAUUGUUUUCUGCUACUCCAGAAACUAGAACACAAACCAAUACAUUUGAAUUACAGCAAAUGAAAUUACACCCAAACAUUAGGAAGACCUUUUUUUUUUUUUUACUGUAAAAGGUGUUCAACUGUGGAACAGAUUCCUUUGAGUGUUGCUGACUCUUCAUCUUUGGAGAUCUUUUAUCAGAGAUUGUUCUUGUUUUUUAUUGGCUAAUGUUUAAUUUUUUUUUAAAUUGUGCAUGUUUUUGUCUAUUGCUGUUUUUUAUACUGCUGCUGUUUUUAUUCGGGCUUGGCCCCAUGUAAGCCGCCCUGAGUCCCCUUUGGGGAGAUAGAGGCGGGGUAUAAAAAUAAAGUUAUUAUUAUUGUCUUGGUCUUUUGGGGUGCUGUAGUUCUGUAUUCCUGCAUGGCAGAGGGUUGUCCUAGAACUCCCUUGAGGAGUUCCAACUAAGAUUCUGUAAGCUUAGUCCUUGUUGGAAAUAGCAACCUUCUACAAGCCUCUUAUACUACUUAUUUGUUAUGUACAGUAGAGUCUCACUCAUCCAAGCUAAACCGGCCGGCAGAACCUUGGAUAAGCAAAUAUCUUGGAUAAUAAGGAGGGAUUAAGGAAAAGCCUAUUAAACAUCAAAUUAGGUUAUGAUUUUACAAAUUAAGCACCAAAACAUCAUGUUAUACAACAAAUUUGACAGAAAAAGUAGUUCAAUACACAGUAAUGUUAUGUUGUAAUUACUGUAUUUACGAAUUUAGCACCAAAAUAUCAUGAUAUAUUGAAAACAUUGACUACAAAAAUGCCUUGGAUAAUCCAGAACCUUGGAUAAGCGAGUCUUGGAUAAGUGAGACUCUACUGUAUAUAAUUGAGAUUGCUUACUAUAUUGUAUGUAUAUGAUUCAGUGUGCAGUUUCCCUUAACUCUGUUGUUUGAGGCUGUGGGAGGGACCACAGACCAUGUGACCAGACUGCAUCUCUGUUUUGGAAGCUGUUUUUUACCUCGGUAAGUGUGUGUAGAAUUUACCUCAGAAACAGUACACUUUAGAAGUCAGUGUAAGUAUGCUGCAGUGUAUAGUCAGUCUUUAUUGAGUCAAUGAUCAGUAAUAUAUUAGACUGAAGAAAUUGCUAGUCUGUUUGCAACAAAGAGACUAAAACAGAAUGCUUUAGAGAACAGACUGUUUAAACUAUCAACCAAUAAGCAAUGUACCUGUAUGCUGAAUACAUGAAGUUCUAUAAGUAUAUCCACCUAUGUUAACUUUUAAUGAAGACUGUGUAUUUUUGGUCUCUUGGGAGCAUG
rnacentral:lncRNA from 11 species